CCCCCCCCUCUUUCUCAUAGACUUCUCUCUUUCUCAUUCCUUCUCUUUUCCGUUUCCAUUUCUCUCUUCCGUUUUGUCCCUUCUCUUCCGCCAUUGCUUUUAUUUUCUUUCCUUCCAUUGCUCGAGUCGUGAAGGACUGCUGCUUGGUUCGUACUAUGGAGGGUGCUUCGUUCGCACUUGAUUUUCUUCGAUCCAAGUUAGUUUCUUUCCUUUUUUUUAUUUAUAUGUUUGUUUGAUAAAUUGAUUUUUAUAUAUGUGUGUGUAGAACCCUGAAGGCCAACGGGUCUGAGAAAUUUGUUCCACCUUCAACAGAAAUGGACAUCCGUAGAUGGACGUGGAUAUCAGUUGAAGGUUCAACGGAUAUCCAUUUUUGUGCCUCUGCUAUUCUCUUGUUUUAAUUUUUUAUUUAUUUUUAGUUUAUUAAUUAUUAUUUUUUAUGUAGAUUUAUUUGUUUGAAGUUUUAGAUGUAGUUGAUUUAAUAAUUUUUAUAUAUUUAUUUAUAAAGAAUAAAAAUGGUUUUGUUAUAAAAAAUAAACCGAAAUGGUUGAAGGCUUAAACGAAAAUGGAAGAUCUGUUUCGCCUUCAAUAAAUCUUCCACUUCCAUUUUUUUUAACGUUUUAACUAUGGUAGUUCAAUUUUUACUGAAGGACAAUUGUGGAAUGGGGUGGUGCAGAAAGAAAUAUAUGGUGGUGUAGGGAG
rnacentral:lncRNA from 1 species